UCUUGCCAAAAAAGGCCAAUAUCACCAAGGAUCAUUUUGUUUUAAGGUGAGGUUUUGCGCAGCAGCAUGACCCAUCCUCUUUGCCCAACUCUUCCAAGCCAAGCACUUACAACUACACUAUGAAGGGCCCUAAUGCCAAGCUAUUAGUACCCAUGCAGACCAGUUCUAUGUUAUCCACUCCCUACCCACAAGUGUUAAUUCUCCACAGAAAACUUCUACAAUUACUAAGCUGAUGAACAAUGCCUUCACUUUUACUUUCAAUGGCCUUGUUUCCAAUGAAAUUGUACCAUCUUCCUUCAUUCUAAUAUGACGUUAAGCUUCAACUCCCUCCGACAAAUCAAUUUCCUAGUUUAGAAUCUCUUUGGAAGGCAAAGUGAUGGCUGGUUUCUUUUCUGCACAGAGAGAAGCCAACAGUUUGCAUUUCAGACAAGUUCCACGCACUGUUGCAGUGGGCAGGAAGUUUAGGGUUAACAUGAGGGCGCACUUCUUUACUCAGUGAUUGGUAGCUGUGUGGAAUGAGCUUCCAGUGGAAGUGGUGGAGGCAGGUUCGAUUUUAUCAUUUAAAAAUAAAUUGGAUAGGUAUAUGGACUGGAAAGGAAUGGAGGGUUAUGGUCUGAGUGCAGGUAGAUGGGACUAGGUGAGAGUAAGUGUUCAGCACGGACUGGAAGGGCAGAGAUGGCCUGUUUCCAUGAUGUAAUUGCUAUAUGGUGAUAUGGUUAUAUGGUCUGGGAGCCACUUCAAAUUUACUGACUGUCUUAAUUGAACACAUCUCUGCUGAUGGAAGGACGGAAGCAAAGAAUUUCUGAUGAGUAACGUCUGACAAUGUUAUAUUAAAACUCAAAAGUGUAAGGAAAUUGAUUUGCCACUAUGAGAAUGUUCCUCAAGUAUUAUGGGUCACCAACAAGACUGAGAAAAUUGUUCCUUCAGAGCCAAGUUGCUCAAUGGGCAGGCAAAAUGAGGGCAGAGGCAAAUGCACCUAAAAUAAAUAGUAAGAUUAAACGAGAACUUACCCGUUUGAAGUUUGAUCUUUAUUUUAUGAGAAGCAACGUUGAGGGAUUACGUGAAGACCCCGCCCAGUACGCAUGCGUGUCAAUCUUCAAAGCAGCAGUGUGAAAUCACAGAUAACAGUUAUUGAACUGAACAUAGUAAGAUAAGAGAACCAUAAUACCAGUUGAACUUUAUGAUAGAGGGCUGGGAGCAGAGGGCACGUAAUCCCUCAACGUUACUCCUCAUAAAAUAAAGAUCAAACUUCAAACUGAUAAGUUCUCGUUUAAUCUUACUAUUUUACUUCGGAAUCACGUGAGUGACUACGUGAAGAUUUUAAAGCUCUGUGAUUUCAUGCCGUGUAACCGAGUCCAGGCGUCAUACACUGCAUGAGUAGGCCAAUGAUCAGUGAACAUUAAGAAUGCAUUCAGACAUGACAUAGAUAUAGACAUGUUGAUGCUAUUAAUGAAUAAUAGUGGCAAUAGUAACCUCCCUCAACCUGGAGGAAGUAUGAACCAUACCUAACAUAGAGUUGGCAAAUACCCCUGAUCUGGCAAUAGUUUGACCAUCCUGCAACCGCUAGGAUGUGGUCCAUCCCUGCUGCUGAGGUAUAGCGGUCCUGGUGGAGUGAGACUCAAUGUCAAUGUACACUCCUGUAUAUGCCAGACCCAUAUAACCAUCUGGAGAAGGUUCGUAGUGAUAUCUUCUAACAAGAUUUUAUGUAACUAAUAAUAUUGCUGUCAGUCUAUAUGGCUUAGGAACCUUGACAUACUGGUGUAGAUGCGUGAUCACACGCAACCCAAGGUCCAUGGGAUAUGCAACAUCUAGUUUGGUCUUGUGUCCCUGUCUAAUCUGCUUGACUAAUCAUAAACAAAACAUGUUAUUAUAGCCCACAGAUAUGAUCAUCCUAUCCAGUGUUGCAAUGACUGGACCCAUAGCGCUGUACUCAGUGCCAUGGCGUAAUCACUAGUACGUGAGUAUGACCAUGGACAGGGAUGUUGCUGGUGCCCAUCGGUGAAGUGACGUAGUACAAUGUUAACAACCCAUAUCUCUGCGUCCCUAAACCUGGGAGGUUUUAGGCUGACGAUACCUUCAUAUUCUGGAUAUCAGAGGGUGAAACCGGACAGAGUGGUUUAUGUACUCCUCAGCCAAAUGAUUAGGAGGUACUUAAGGCACAGUAAUGGAAUAGUAACUUAAUGUUAUAAUCCCAUAAAACUGAAUUUUAAUGUGUCAGUCAUCCGUGCCGAGUUAAACAUAAGGAAGCAUAAACAAUGCUUCCCAUCUCCUAUGCAGAUUGCUGCUAUUUGGUGCUAUCCCUGCAAUCUGUAGUGAGCACUCUUAACGCUUAUGGUUUGACAACCCGAGCCGCAGAAACGAUCUCUCAGAGUCUGUAAGUCUAUGAAUUGAUUAUAUCAUGUAGAGGAUGGUUUCAACAUCACAACUGAACCAGCAUCUUUUUAUCCGGAAUUAACCAUGUAAGGUUUUAUGUUAAUUCUUCGCCUCAGCAGGAGCCAUAGGUGUAUAACCCAGGCAGGCACUAUGAAAACCCGGAAGCGGGAAUCUUGCUGAAUUUUGCAAGACCCGUCUAUUGAGGCCAAAUGGAGGAAGACAUAAAAGAACAUUCCUUCCUAGUGUAGCGAGAAUGCACCCUUCGCCACUGUAUGCCUCGUUCACUGUUGAUUGAAACUGGAUGCAAGCAACUCAAUAGUUAGUGUUCUAUCAAUCCACAUUGUCAUUAAAUACUUUGUGAUCACA